rnacentral:rRNA from 1 species
AUGCAGCCGCAGAUGCUGAUCAUCUCCUGCGGGGGCACGCGGAAGCUGCUGAACCAGGAGGAGGUGGCGGCGGCGGCGACAGAGCUCGGGUUCAACGUGACGGUGGCGGAGGCAGGGGCGUUCGUGGCGCUGGUGAACGCGGCGGACGUGCUGCUGGCGGUGCACAGGGCCGGGCUGACGAACCAGAUCUUCCAGCCGACGCAGGCGGUGGUGCUGCAGAUCGUGCCGUGGGGGAACAUGGACUGGAUGGCCACCAACUUCUACGGGCAGCCGGCGCGGGACAUGCAGCUCCGGUACGUGGAGUACUAUGUCGACGAGGAGGAGACGAGCCUCAAGGACAAGUACCCGAGGGAGCACCUGGUGUUCAGCGACCCCAAGGCGCUGCACAAGCAGGGGUGGCAGGCGCUCGCCGAGACAAUCAUGAAGCAGGACGUGAAGGUGAACCUCGCCAGGUUCCGCCCCUUCCUGCUCCAGGCCAUCGACAACCUGCAGGAGUAG